AGUGAACGCUGGCGGUAGGCCUAACACAUGCAAGUCGAACGGCAGCACAGUAAGAGCUUGCUCUUACGGGUGGCGAGUGGCGGACGGGUGAGGAAUACAUCGGAAUCUACUUUUUCGCGGGGGAUAACGUAGGGAAACUUACGCUAAUACCGCAUACGACCUACGGGUGAAAGCAGGGGAUCUUCGGACCUUGCGCGAUUGAAUGAGCCGAUGUCGGAUUAGCUAGUUGGCGGGGUAAAGGCCCACCAAGGCGACGAUCCGUAGCUGGUCUGAGAGGAUGAUCGGCCACACUGGAACUGAGACACGGUCCAGACUCCUACGGGAGGCAGCAGUGGGGAAUAUUGGACAAUGGGCGCAAGCCUGAUCCAGCCAUACCGCGUGAGUGAAGAAGGCCUUCGGGUUGUAAAGCCCUUUUGUUGGGAAAGAAAAGCAGCAGGUUAAUACCCCGCUGUUCUGACGGUACCCAAAGAAUAAGCACCGGCUAACUUCGUG
rnacentral:rRNA from 1 species